CACGUUGAAACACACGUUCCCGUACGAUCACCGAAGUUAAACAACAUCGAACAUGGCUAGUACUUAGAUGGGUAACCGCUUCGGAAUACCAGUUGCUGCGU